AGAUUAUCGACAAUGGCGCUUCGAAUUCUAAGCAGGAAAAACCUAACGCCAACAAUUUCUGGAGCUUUAGGGUCUGGACAUUUCCGCGGCCUGCAGACCUUCUCCUUGCCCGACCUCCCUUAUGAUUAUGGCGCUCUUGAGCCCGUCAUCAACGCCGAAAUUAUGCAGCUUCAUCAUCAGAAGCACCAUCAAGCCUACAUCACCAACUACAACAAGGCUCUUGAGCAACUUCACGAGGCCAUUAACAAAGGCCACACCUCCACCGUUGUCAAAUUGCAGAGUGCCAUCAAAUUCAAUGGCGGAGGUCACAUUAAUCAUUCGAUUUUCUGGAAUAAUCUGGCCCCAAUUCAUGAAGGGGGUGGUGAACCUCCAAAGGGAUCUCUAGGAUGGGCAAUCGAUUCCCAGUUUGGUUCUCUUGAAGCCUUGAUUCAGAGAGUUAACGCAGAAGGUGCUGCUUUACAG
rnacentral:misc_RNA from 1 species